rnacentral:misc_RNA from 1 species
GAUUAUUUAUCCUAUUUCUAAUUUCCUAUUAAAUGAUGGUCAGAAAAUGGCCUUCCUAAACCAUACAGAAAGUAACUGGGCUUUGUUUUGCUAUGUGAUAAGAGCUAGAAAUUCACCAGUUACAGCCAUAUGGAUGCCAACUGCCACCUCAUGUCUCAUGAAGGUUGCAUGAUCUCCCUGGUUCUCCUAACUUGGCAAAACUCUCAUCCAGUAAUGUUAAUGAAAAUGUAGUUGAUUUCUAAUCCUUUGCUGCAGUUUAUAUUCUUGUAAGUAGCCAAUCAUUUGUUCCAUUAAUCCUUUGGGCAAUCUUUUUUUCCUAGAAAAGAAUAA